rnacentral:rRNA from 1 species
CCUACUUGGAUAACUGUGGCAAUUCUAGAGCUAAUACAUGCAUAAAAGCUCUGCCCGAAAGGAAAGAGCGCAUUUAUUAGAAUAAAAACCAAUCGGGCUUCGGCCUGUAAUUUGGUGAAUCUGAAUAACUUUGCCAAUCGCACAGUCCUAGUACUGGCGAUGUAUCCUUCAAGUGUCUGCCUUAUCAACUUUCGAUGGUAGGUUAUACGCCUACCAUGGUAGUAACGGGUAACGGAGAAUAAGGGUUCGACUCCGGAGAGGGAGCCUGAGAAACGGCUACCACAUCCAAGGAAGGCAGCAGGCGCGCAAAUUACCCACUUCCAGAACGGAGAGGUAGUGACGAAAAAUAACGAGACAGUCCUCUUCGAGGUCUGUCAUCGGAAUGGGUACAAUUUAAAUCCUUUAACGAGGAUCUAUUGGAGGGCAAGUCUGGUGCCAGCAGCCGCGGUAAUUCCAGCUCCAAUAGCGUAUAUUAAAGUUGUUGCGGUUAAAACGCUCGUAGUUGGAUCUGCGGCCGAGGAGAACGGUCCCCCGAAAGGGCGGUCACUGUCUCUCCUAGCCUAAAUUCGAGUCGUCUCUAGGUGCCCUUUACUGGGUGCCUAGAGUGACUAGAACGUUUACUUUGAAAAAAUUAGAGUGCUUAAAGCAGGCGAAAUAGCCUGAAUAAGGUGCAUGGAAUAAUGGAAUAGGACCUCGGUUCUAUUUUGUUGGUUUUCGGAACCUGAGGUAAUGAUUAAGAGGAACAGACGGGGGCAUUCGUA